rnacentral:rRNA from 1 species
UACGGGGGGGGCAAGCGUUGUUCGGAAUUACUGGGCGUAAAGGGCUCGUAGGCGGCCAACUAAGUCAGACGUGAAAUCCCUCGGCUUAACCGGGGAACUGCGUCUGAUACUGGAUGGCUUGAGUUUGGGAGAGGGAUGCGGAAUUCCAGGUGUAGCGGUGAAAUGCGUAGAUAUCGGGAGGAACGCCGGUGGCGAAAGCGACUGUCUGGGGUGCCUGUGACGCUGAGGCGCGAAAGCCAGGGGAUCAAACGGG